AAGUUUUUAUUUAUUAUAUUUCUGUCACUCACUUAUAACCAUGUUUUCUUUGUAGAAACAUAACAGAAAUGUGUGGUCCUUUCCAAGGGAAGGGGGUUAGAAAUGGGUUAGGUUUGUUUUGUUUAUUUUCAUUACUCAACUUCCAUGGAGACACCACAGAAAUGCAGGGCCCUCUCCUUGGAAGGGCCUGGUGUUUCAGGUGAAUCCAAAUUGUUAGGAACCUGCACUUGGGUUUGAACUGGAGGCAUUACCUCAUUGGAAUUAGGGAAAUGGGGUGUGUUCUGUUGUUUCCUGUAAUGUAGAUCACACCACCUGAAAGAAUUUCAAUCAUAUUCAUAUUUUUCAAAAUCUGUCACAAAGAUUGAGAAUCCAAUUCCAGCAACAGUCAGAUAAUUUUUGGUUUAUACUCAGGCAGUUACUUACCCCAAAACAUAUGUCAGCAUUAAUGCUCCUGGAACUGGCAAUGAUUUAAUGCGAUACACAGGGAAUCAGGAUGUGUAGAUAUUGAGAAAAGGUUUGCUUAACCUCUAAGCUAUGAUUGAGGAGUGAACACUUACGGUUGGACUGCUGAGGUUUAAAAUUUGAUAUAUGACAAUUUUCCUGAGCGAGAGACAUCAAAAUCUACUGGACGAGGAAAGUAAUCAAUAAUGGGAAACUGCAGCAAGGGGUGAAGUGUAAAGGUGUGAGCGUGUUAACAAAAACUAUUAAAGAAAAAAUUACAAAACAAAUCAAAG